CUUAUGUGAAAAAAUUAUUACUACAUGUAAUUGGUAAGAUAAAAUAUAUUCAAACAAAUGCAAAAAAUUUUACCAUUGUUAUAGAGGAUAUAUUUUGCAUAUCAAAACUGGAAGAGGGUUUCUAUAUUGAUGGUGAGAUUCUCUAUUUAUUUUAAUUUGCAGAGGACAAUGUCUCCAUUGCUUGAAGCUCAAGAACAGUGUAGAACUUUCUAAAGCAGAACUAUAUAAUCAUGAUAAAGAGAUGGGCCCAAGUUCACAAGGAGGGAGCCAAAAUCAUUUUCAUGCGCUGAUAUUCUCAAUCAAAGCCAAGGACUCCUAUUAAAUUAAUCUAUGAUUACUCUUCAUAGAAUUUAUAUAAACAGAACCUUGAUUUGGUAACUUACUAAUUGUUCUUUCUUAGUCCAUCUUUAACUCUAACAUAUGAAUAAUAUUUGCCUAAGAAAUAAAAAUAAUAAAAUCUCCA
rnacentral:lncRNA from 1 species